UUUUCCAUUGAUUGGAACAGUUUCAGAAGGAAUGGUACCAGCUCCUCUUUGUACCUCUGGUAGAAUUCGGCUGUGAAUCUGUCUGGUCCUGGCCUUUUUUUGGUUGACGGAGUCUCACUCUGUCACCCAGGCUGGAGUGCAAUGGCACGGUCUCGGCUCCCUGCAACCUUCACCUCCCAGUUUCACUCUUGUUGCCCAGACUGGAGUGCAAUGGCGCGAUCUCGGCUCACUACAACCUCUGCCCCCCGGGUUCAAGCGAUUUUCUUCCCUCAGCCUCCCGAGUAGCUGGGAUUACAAGUGCCCACCACCACACCCAGCUAAUUUUUUGUAUUUUUAGUAGAGACAGGGUUUCACC
rnacentral:lncRNA from 10 species